rnacentral:rRNA from 1 species
UACGGAGGGGACUAGCGUUGUUCGGAAUUACUGGGCGUAAAGCGCACGUAGGCGGAUUUGUAAGUCAGGGGUGAAAUCCCGGGGCUCAACCUCGGAACUGCCUUUGAUACUGCAAAUCUCGAGUCCGGAAGAGGUGAGUGGAAUUCCUGGUGUAGCGGUGGAAUGCGCAGAUAUCAGGAGGAACACCAAUAGCGAAGGCAGCUCGCUGGGACGGUACUGACGCUAAGGCGCGAAAGCGUGGGGAGCGAACAGG